rnacentral:rRNA from 1 species
UACGUAGGUGGCAAGCGUUGUCCGGAUUUAUUGGGUUUAAAGGGUGCGUAGGCGGUCCUAUAAGUCAGUGCUGAAAUAUCCCGGCUUAACCGGGAGGGUGGCAUUGAUACUGCAGGACUUGAGUAAAGUUGAGGUUGGCGGAAUUGACGGCGUAGCGGUGAAAUGCUUAGAUAUCGUCAAGAACACCUAUUGCGAAGGCAGCUAACUAAGCUUUAACUGACGCUGAGGCACGAAAGUGUGGGGAUCAAACAGG